rnacentral:rRNA from 1 species
GACGAACGCUGGCGGCGUGCUUAACACAUGCAAGUCGAGCGAUGAAUUUUCUUCGGAAAUGGAUUAGCGGCGAACGGGUGAGUAACACGUGGGUGAUCUGCCCUUGACUCUGGGAUAACUGCUAGAAAUGGUAGCUAAUACCGGAUACGGCCCUCGGUGGCAUCACCAGGGGGUGGAAAGAAUUUCGGUCAAGGAUGGACUCGCGGCCUAUCAGCUAGUUGGUGAGGUAACGGCUCACCAAGGCGACGACGGGUAGCCGGCCUGAGAGGGUGACCGGCCAAACUGGGACUGAGAAACGGCCCAGACUCCUACGGGAGGCAGCAGUGGGGAAUAUUGCACAAUGGGCGCAAGCCUGAUGCAGCAACGCCGCGUGAGGGAUGACGGCCUUCGGGUUGUAAACCUCUUUUAGUAGGGAAGAAGCGAAAGUGACGGUACCUGCAGAAAAAGCACCGGCUAACUACGUGCCAGCAGCCGCCGUAA